AAAUUGAAGAGUUUGAUCAUGGCUCAGAUUGAACGCUGGCGGCAGGCCUAACACAUGCAAGUCGAACGGUAACAGGAAUCAGCUUGCUGUUUCGCUGACGAGUGGCGGACGGGUGAGUAAUGUCUGGGAAACUGCCUGAUGGAGGGGGAUAACUACUGGAAACGGUAGCUAAUACCGCAUAAUGUCGCAAGACCAAAGAGGGGGACCUUCGGGCCUCUUGCCAUCGGAUGUGCCCAGAUGGGAUUAGCUAGUAGGUGGGGUAACGGCUCACCUAGGCGACGAUCCCUAGCUGGUCUGAGAGGAUGACCAGCCACACUGGAACUGAGACACGGUCCAGACUCCUACGGGAGGCAGCAGUGGGGAAUAUUGCACAAUGGGCGCAAGCCUGAUGCAGCCAUACCGCGUGUAUGAAGAAGGCCUUCGGGUUGUAAAGUACUUUCAGCGGGGAGGAAGGGAGUAAAGUUAAUACCUUU
rnacentral:rRNA from 1 species